UUAGCUGGGAAUGGUGGCAAAAGCCUGUGGUCCCAGCUACUUGGGGGGUUGAGGUGGGAGGAUUGCUUGAGCCCAGGAAGUGGAGGUUGCAGUAAGCUGAGAUUACACCACUAUACUCUAGCUCCAGCCCGGGUGACAAAGUGAGGUCCCAUCUCAAAAAAAGAAAAAAAGAAAGUGAAAACAAUCCUGAAUUGAUGGUUUACAUCUUCUUCUUGGAAUUCUUACAUGAAAAAAACACAAUCUGCUUGAUUUGAUUAUUGGCAAAAAGGGUGAUGUUAACAGGAAUAUGAGACUUAUUUUGAAAAUCUCUUAGGGAAUAAGAAGGUUCUACUUAACAAAGGUAAAUCAGAAUGCACCAGUAGUGCCGUGGGUUUUACGGAAGAAACUGGAACUGAUUUUCCACAGCAGUUCUUUAAGUAAGUGGGGGUGGGGAGUGGCAGCAGAGCAACCCCAGGAACAGCAAGUGGGGUUUGUUCGCUGCAGACUGUGACAGAUUUUUGUGAUCACCACCGCCUGGGAGUAUGCCCUCUGGGAUUUUAUUUUUCUUUUUUGGGGGGUCUAGAAUCCAGCAGAAGGGCUAUUCAAUCUUUCUGCUGCCAUAAGAAAAAAACAUGCUGGGCCUAUCACCAGAUGGCCUCUGAAUGGGCUAGGACUCUGCUGAGACUGGCCUAGCUAUGAACACUGUUGUGCUCUACACCCCACAAGGUCUUUCUAGACAAGUGUGCAAGUAACUAGAGACAGAGGAAAAUAUGCACAGGUGCUUUGAAUCAUGUGAACAGCCAAAUACUAAGGUACAUGAUCCUUUAAAAGAACAGACAUUCACAAUGUUUUAGCUCCUGAGCAGCCUCUCAGGCCUCCCGUGCUUGGAGAUGAGGGCAGGUGAAGACAACCCUAACCCAAGACACCGGCUCCCUGUGGUCUGUGCUCUGCAAAUAAAGCUGAUGGAAACACCACAGACGACGAGUCGUGGGAGAAAAGGUGAGGGGCAUAGCUGAGAUCCAUUUUCAAUAUCUGAGUAAUACUCUUGCCUUGGCUCCUUAGUAGAAAGACUGCAAAGGGCUGGUCACCUGCUGGUGGUUAUUUAGGGGAAGAUCAGAGGUGAGAUGUGAGCCUUCUUCUGAGAGGCUUACCCUGGAAGUGUUUCCUUCUAGGAAUGCUUGAAAAAUAUAUAGCUUACGCAUCAAAUUCUAAGCAAUAGUCAUAAGGACCCUCUGGAGUCCAGCCAAGAACCAGGAUUCAGGAAGCAAAGGUUCUGGAUGUCCAACUGGAUGUCAGAGCUUCCCAAGAGCUUCAGUUCCCCAAGGGCCUGCCCACUCCCACCUAUUUCCAGGACUGGUCUUUUGGCCAAGUCUAGGGAUUCCCAUUCCCUGACAGAUCAGAAAUCACCAACUAGUACCCAGUUGGUUGGGGGCAUAUGCGUUGGAGCCAGAAAUGUGACUUUGGCCUGUGAAAGAGGGAGGCGAAUGCCAAGAAGUCAAAAAGUCUGGAAGGAAACCAGGUUCCACAGUCACCCAACAGAUCCCAAGGGCCCCACCGGCCAAGCACCCAGGACAACACCAGCUACUUACUGCGACGGGCCGCAUCUGAGUGUGCGCCUAAGAUGGGGUGUGUGUGCAAAAUAUUUCUAGGGGAUUUCCACUAGACAGAAUGGGAUGAUUCAGUUAUCUGGACAUUUUAAAAUAAUUGCUUAAUCCCUGAUAACGAGCAAAGUGAUUUUCUACUGUGCAGAUACUUUGAUGUUAGAAUAACUGAUAUUACCACUUUCAGUGUGGUCCAGAGGGCGCAUUGUCUUUCACGUACACUGCAUAAAUGUUUCCACUGGACAGCAGGCACUGGCAUUUCUCCCACAGAAGUGCUCUUCUGAAAAGUCCUGCAUCAACACUUGCACCACCAGCCAGGGAACUCCAGGGAGCCUGAGCAACUACUAUGGGAUGUGCCCUGCCUUGGGCCUGGGAAUGGCACCAGGCAGAGAACCUUAUUUCCUGGGUCACAGGGGGCAGGAAUUAGCUGCUGGCCUCCUGCCCUGACUAGAGAGGAUGCCUAGUGCUCAGCCGGCAAGUUCCUCUGACACUAGGCAGAGGACAAGUGUGAAGCUGCAGUACCUCCCUCUCCUAGGCCCUGAGAGGCGGGGAUUAAUGUGUCUCCUGGAAAAGCCGCGAGUUCCUGAGAUGCCAUCAUUCUCUUUAUCUAAUCUCACCCUUCCUGCUCUGUGUGGCCCGUUAGCCAGGGGCCACCCUCAAAUCUAAUGGGUGCAAAGACAAAGCAAGGCCUACAUUCCUCACCUGCUGGGUCUCCGUGACAGAAUCUCCGUGAAUCAGAGAUUCUAUAAAUUAAGAAAAACAAACUAAACCCAGUAGAUGGCAGACAGGGGAAUCUAGAGGUCUAAGGAAGCUGGCAGUUAAAUCUGAGUGUUAGGCAGGCAGCAAAGGAAACUAGACAGACAUCUAUUUUGCGUUUGAUUUCACUGGUUCAAAUGUCUACAUGCUGGAGUAAAUCCACUUGCCUCUCUCUUCAUCGCUCUUCCUCUGCAGUACAUUAACCUGGCCGAGGAUGGCAUAUGCCACUGUUGACUCCUGGUCCUCCAAGGCCUAGGAGGCUCACCCCACAGGCAGGGCCUGGAGCCAUAGCAAACUCAGAAGAAGGCCAUAGGUACAGUCUCAGUGACAUCAGACAUUAGGCUGAUUCCUGAGGCAUCGCUCCUGUCUCCCAGGACAGCAGGGUCUGAUGCUCUGGUAUGUAGCUACCAGGUCACAAUCACAUGACCACUGCAGAAACAUCAACCCCAGCUGGUCCAGGUUCCAGCCAGUUUCCUCUGGGCAGCAUGUUACAAUGGGCUCCCUGCCUUUUUGUUUUGAUCAUCCAAAUCUAGCUUCAAAGGGCUCCAAAACGUCCUUGCCACAUCUGGACCUGAAAGCAAGAGCUGUUUUUAAGAGUGAGAUUCUCAUUGCAUUUGGACAAAAUGAAUAAUGUGCCUUUCAUAUUUUCUUUGUAUUUCUCUUCAAUAGUUGCUUGACCCAACAUCUUUCUGUCUGCUCUAUACAAUGAAAAUACAAACUAAAUGAGAAUAGAAAAAAUAAUUAAAGCAUUAAAUUGUACAAAUUACAAAUCUGUUCCAAAAUAUACUUACAUUAAAUAAAAUACGCAUUUCAAUAAGAGAUCUACAGUGAAUGACUAUGCAUUCUGGGAAGCUUCACAACAUCUAGGCAGGGCCAACAUUCGUGAAAAAGCUAAGAGAUUUUGCAUCCAAUCACAGUUUGUAGCGGGUAUCUUAUUGCCAAUCUGCAGGUUACACUGAACACAUCAUUAGCAUCGCUUGUGCAGAAAACCAAUUUUGUUUGGGAAAAGGGAAAGCAAGCUCUGGCCUCAAUUUUGAGUUCAUUACAACUUCUUAAGAAUUUCACCAACAGCCUAUACA